rnacentral:rRNA from 1 species
AUUGAACGCUGGCGGCGGGCUUAACACAUGCAAGUCGAGCGGGGGAAGGUAGCUUGCUACCGGACCUAGCGGCGGACGGGUGAGUAAUGCUUAGGAAUCUGCCUAUUAGUGGGGGACAACAUCUCGAAAGGGAUGCUAAUACCGCAUACGUCCUACGGGAGAAAGCAGGGGAUCACUUGUGACCUUGCGCUACUAGAUGAGCCUAAGUCGGAUUAGCUAGUUGGUGGGGUAAAGGCCUACCAAGGCGACGCUCUGUAGCGGGUCUGAGAGGAUGAUCCGCCACACUGGGACUGAGACACGGCCCAGACUCCUACGGGAGGCAGCAGUGGGGAAUAUUGGACAAUGGGGGGAACCCUGAUCCAGCCAUGCCGCGUGUGUGAAGAAGGCCUUAUGGUUGUAAAGCACUUUAAGCGAGGAGGAGGCUCUUUUGGUUAAUACCCAAGAUGAGUGGACGUUACUCGCAGUAUAAGCACCGGCUAACUCUGUGCCAGCCGCCGCGGUAA